GCAAUGAUCCAGCUGAGGGGUCUGAAGAUGGACUAAGACUUGGUCGAGUAGUCAUGAUGUCAGAAGACAAAGAUUUUCUUAGGAAAAAUCUAAAUCAGUUUAAGAAGACAACUGGUCCAACGAAUGUCCAGCAUCAGGCAAAUAAAGUAAAGCGAACGAAAGGAAAUACUGCAACACCACCUAUUGCAACCAAAACAAGGGCUGUGUCUGUCAAAGGACGAGAGGCAGUACAGCAGCUACAAUGGGAGACCUUGAGGGCGAACAAAGUGCCAACCCCUCUUCAUUACAAACGGAGGACGAUGUUAGCGUUAAACGUCG